UCAGAGGGUCGGGCGGCCGCGGCCUCGUUCGCAAGAACGGGGGCGAGGAAAGUCCGGGCUCCACGGAAACGACGGUGCCGGGUAACGCCCGGCGGGGGCGACCCCAGGGAAAGUGCCACAGAGAGCAAACGGCGACGGCUUCGGCCACGUCACGGUGAAAGGGUGCGGUAAAAGCGCACCGCGGGCCUGGUAACAGGAACGGCAUGGCAAACCCCACCGGGAGCAAGACCGAAUAGGGACGGCACAUGGGCCUCGUUCCGGCCCGUCGUCCGGGUUGGUUGCUGGAGGCGGCGCGCAAGCGUCGUCCUAGAGGAAUGGUCGCCUAUCCCGCCUCGCGCGGGUGGACAGAACCCGGCUUACAGACCCUCUGACGCG
rnacentral:RNase_P_RNA from 1 species